UACGUAGGUGGCAAGCGUUGUCCGGAUUUAUUGGGUUUAAAGGGUGCGUAGGCGGUCAUGUAAGUCAGUGGUGAAAUCCGGCAGCUCAACUGUCGAUGUGCCAUUGAUACUGUAUGACUUGAGUACAGACGAGGUAGGCGGAAUUGACGGUGUAGCGGUGAAAUGCUUAGAUAUCGUCAAGAACACCGAUAGCGAAGGCAGCUUACUAGACUGUAACUGACGCUGAUGCACGAAAGUGUGGGGAUCAAACAGG
rnacentral:rRNA from 1 species